rnacentral:lncRNA from 1 species
ACACCUGCAUUGGGCACCUGAACUUUCUUUGUUCCAUACCCUCUACUCUUGGUACCUCAGGUUUGGGUGACCUCUAUUAGUGGAUCUUUUCUCCUGUGACUCGGUAAUUGCGAAUAGCCAGGUCUCUCUCAAUGAGAGUUUGGAGGAGGGGGAACUAUUACCCUUGUCUUUAUAUUUCUCUCAUUCCUACCUAUCUCUCUAUGCCUGUUUCCUCUUCUACAAAACUGGGAUAAUAAUAGUUAUCCAUAGGAUUAUUAGUGAAGACUAAAUGAGUUAAUGCAUAUGAAGAAGCUAGAACAGUGUCAGGCACUAUCAAAAUUUUGCUGUGGUUGUUAUUAACAGUAUUGUUAGUAUUAUUACUGCCCUGGCUUGAGCUCAGUCAAGAAUGGCAUGUGGCCAAUUCUCAGCUACAGUUAAUAGUAGUUUAUAGUUAAUAAAAGCCAACUGAAGAGGGAGAAUUCAAAUAUAUUCAUUCAGUAAUUUUUGUGAUAUCCACUAUGUGCUAGGCACAGUGUUAUUUACUGACAACUUUCUAUGAUCUAAUAAAGCCAGAGGAGCUGUGUUCAAACAAUAAUUAAAAGCAUCAUAAAGAUGAACUCAGAGUUUAAUGUAAAGAAUGCCUAGACCCUUGGUCAGUGGCAUGAAUGGCAUUUCCUUGCCUACCUUGGCUGAAGCAAGGGUCCCCUUCCCAACUGAAUUCUUACUCUUUUAACUGACAACACUUACACUUUGUUCUCUUCUCUGCUUGAGAUUUUUUACAGUUUCAUCCUAUUUCUCCUCUGGAUUUCCCCCCUACACAACCACAAUGCUUCAUUUGUUUAGAUCAGUUUAAUCAUUUUCCAGGCAUGGUGAACAGUUUUCCUAUGUGCUUCUUAUUCUCUUCACCAUAGUUCUCGACAUCUAUUGGUUCUAUAAGUUGAUUCAGCCUAGUGGAUGUAUUUGGUGUUUUAAGUUGUGUCAGGUAUGGAGUUAAAAGGUAAAUAUUAAGCUGUUCUUUUCCUUGAGGAGCCCUAUAGUUCCAUGUGGAAGAGACAGGCCCCAAAGUAGGGCAUCUCAGUAUGUUAUGGGGAGUCUGAACGCACAGUAUGCUUUGGCAUCCAUCCAUGUCACAGCUUCCCCUCCACCCCCGUUUCUCAUUACAACACGUACUGCCCAUUAUGUGAAAACCUGGUAUUCUUGACUCACAAUCUGUAGGCGUUACACUCUGUUUUAUACUCUGAGUUUUUUCCAGUACUGGUAAUGGGUUGUACUGAAUCAUUUAUUUACAUUUCCUUGGCCAGUUUAUUUUGACACAUGACAUGUAUUUACUGAUGGAGAAAACACAUGCAGUUUGUGGAUAUGGUGUAAUAUUUUUCCUUUGGAAAUAGAAGAGAGACCUCACUUAAGUUUUACUGGAUGAAUAGUCACCUUGAUGUUUUUAAAUGGUUUCAAAGCAGUACAUGCUGCACUAUCCCUUCUGUGCUUAUUUACAUACAUGUAGACACAUACAUGUUACAAAGAAUAGGAAGAAGAUAGUAAUAUAUAUAUAAUGUACUAUUUGAAUAAUAUUUGAAGCAAAGGAAAACAAGUGGCACAUCACUAAUUUGGACUCUUUCACAUGUUUAUUACCAUAUUUAUUUAUUGAGACUAAGCAUCCAUGCCUUCAUUAAUCCUUAGUGCUUGCUAUGAAAUUAUUUCUUGUUCCACAUAUUUUUAAUCAAUCUGGAUCCAAGUUCAGUCAAUAUUUAAUACACUGUAGGAAUUUCUUUCACUUUAUUGAAUUUGCAUUGCUCAUCUAGUUCUAGAAUAACUUAUUUUCUUAUAGUUAUUGUGCCUAUAAUUCUGUUAUUUCCUCAAGAAGAGUAGGGAUAUCUAGCUAUGACUUGGUGGGACCACAGAUUAGAUCUUUCCAUCUUAGGUUAUGUAGCAGUAACAUUAGCACAUGAUCCAACUUCUUACACGGUGCUUUGGCCAAGAUGUUACUCUUAGUUUUUCUCCCAUCUCUCUGAGUGGUACUUUUGGCAUGGUUUUGUAGCCUUUGGUCCCUCUGCUGGUGUCUCCAGUGUUCCCCAGGAUUUUCUCCUUGGCCCAUUUCUAUCUAUCUUCUUCUUAUACAUGCUCCAUUUGUCAUCUCAUUCACUCUCAUGACUUUAAGUAACACCCAUAAGAUUUUUUUUCUUAGCCACACCUGAGGCCAGGGAUCGAAACCAAGAUCUGAGCAGUGACCCAAGCUGCUGUAGUGACAACACAAAUCCUUAACCCACUGAGCCAUAAGAGAAUUCCAAAUGCCCAUAAGAUACUGAAUGCCUGAUAUGUAUUUCCAGGCUGGAUCUUUUCAGCUUCCUAAGGAAAUCACCAGGACCUCGCAAUGGCGCUACAAGCCCUACCUGACUCUAUUGAAAUCUGUCACUUGUUCCUCCUCCUUGUCCCCUUCAUGGUGAAGCAGCAUUUCUCUACAGAGAAACCAAAGUCACUUGUGAUGCUCUUUCUCUUUCACCUUCCACAUGAAAUCCUAUCAUUCAACCCAAGUGCACCUCCCCUGUUCUUUCUGAUUUCCUGACACUGCUUAACUCAAAGCCUUUCUCAUCCCUUACCUGAAAGACUGACAGACUCUCUCUUUCAUUUCUUACUUCUACUACCCACAUUGCCAUGAGUACCAACUUUCAAACAUGUACCUCCUUCAUUCUGAGUCAUGCCCAUGGGCUGUAGGAUAAAGUUCAAACUCUCCAGCAGGACCUACAAAGCACUCUUCCACAUCUGGCUGAGCAAUCAGCCUCAUCUCCUAGUUCAGGUCUCCUCAUGAUGCUCAGACAAGUCCUUUGCCCCAGACACUUCACCUUUUCCCAAUAUGGUCUUUGCCCUUUUAUUUUUUUGUAUUUUGUUCAUGCUAUUUAUUCUCUGUGGACUGCCCUCCCUCUUCCCUCUUCUCUGCUGAGAAAACUCUUCCUCAUUUUUUUUUGUCUUUUUUUUUUUUUUUUUUUAGGGCCACACCUGUGGCAUAUGGAGGUUCCCAGGCUAGGGGUCCAAUCAGAGCAGUAGCAGUCAGCCUAUACCACAGCCACAGCAAUGCCAGAUCCUAGCCACAUCUGCAACCUACACCACAGCUCAACACCGGAUCCUUAACCCACUGAGUGAGGCCAGGAAUGGAACCCACAACCUCAUGGUUCCUAGUCGGAUUUAUUUCCACUGCGCCACGACAGGAACACCUCUUCCUCCUUUUUUAGGGCUCAUUGCAGAUCUCACCUGCUUGAGAUGCCUUUUCCAGGCUUCCCACUCUGUGGGCUGCUCCUCACACUGUGCCUCCACAUCACUCUGUACUGACCUUGGAUAUGUUCAACACCAGAACUCAGUAGUGCACUCAUUUAUCUCUUUUAUAACUAAACUUUGAGCUCUGGUUGGAUAGGAAACUUCAAGUCAUCCAACAUUUUUUCAAUUACCCAACGCAGUCCCUGUCAUAUACAAGACUCCCUCAACUGUAGACCAAAGAAGUAAACUUUAUAGUAAUAGUUAAAGAAAUAUCAAGAAAAGCAUUUUGUGUGUUUUUUUUUUCUCAUGCCCGUCCUCAGCUGUAUCAGUCACUCAUUUGUCCAUCUUUCGGUUUCCUCCGUCUCCUUUAAUACUACUUUCUCAUCUUUCUUUCAGGUAUGGGCCUUCAGUAUUGCAAAGCAUUAGAACCGGGUAUAUCUGCAGUUUCCUGGUGGUUUGGAGUGUUAAUAUUUUAAACACCUUUGAGUUUAAUAGCCUGUCUUUCUCUAAACUAGACCUGUCAGUGAGAGUGCCAAGUGCCUCCUCAGUUCUCCCACCUCUGAAACGCCCUAGCUGUUCAAUCCUAAUUGGAAACAUUUUAGGGGUAGAAGUGGCUUUUUGUUACUCUAAAUUUCUGUUAACCUAAGGGAUGGCUUUGCAUCACAUUCAUAUGCCUUGUGGUUGCCACCUUUUUAUUUUUUGUGUGGCCAAAAUUCAUAAAUCAAGAUCAGAACACCCAGUUUUUCUCAAAUCAUCCUAAGCUGUCAUGAUCUUAUUUUUUUCCAAUCAGAAUGAGAUUUUUCUCACAAGCUGUGAUUCUUACUCCACCAACUCCUCCUUCCUGAUAGAAACUUCAUAUAUAUUGAAGGGGCUUUGUGUGUUCUAUUAUUAUUAAAGCUAUAUUUUGUCAGAUUAAUGCUGUCUGUUCACAAAGAAGCAUUGCCAUUUUCUUCUCAAUGUAAUUGGGCAGGGGUUGAAUGCCUUUAUAAACAAAAAUAUAAAACAAUUCUUAACAUAUUCUGAUAAAUAAUAUAGUCCCAAAAGAUAUUUCCUUUGUGAUAAAUUGAACUCUAAUUCAUGAAUUUUUAAAUUGUUCCUUCCUGCUAUAGACAUGAAUUUCUAAAGUGUGUGUGUGUGUGUGUGUGUGUGUGUGUGUGUGUGUGUGUGUAGACAUUAAUUAUUGUCAGGGUGGGGAGUAGAGCAAAUUGUGGCCCUAAAUUUCUUUUAAUAAUAAUUUAUAUAUCCAUGUCUCCUUUCUUUUCCAAAUCUGGCUUCCUUAUUAUUUUAAUGGUUUCUAGCUUUACUACUAAUGCAUGAACUUGACUUUUCUAAAUCAUCUUUUUAAAUGGAAAGUAAAAGCUGUGAAAUGCAAAAACACUUUCAAGUUAACAAUAGUAAGUUAAUAUUUAUUGAACACUUACCAUGUGCCAGACACUCGAAUAAGCACUUUAUAUAUACUGUCUCCUUUGGUCAAGAAUUAUAAUCCAAAUGCAAACACUAAAUGAAAUACUUAAAAGCAAAGGGAGUUCCUCUUGUGGCUCAGCAGAAACGAAUCCAACUAGGAACCAUGAGGUUGGGGGUUCGAUUCCUGGCCUUACUCAGUGGGCUAAGGAUCCGGUGUUGCCAUGAGCUGUGGUGUAGGUCACAGACACAGCUUGAAUCUGGCAUUGCUGUGGCUGUGGCGUAGGCCGGUGGCUAUGGCUCCGAUUAGACUCCAAGCCUGGGAACCUCCAUAUGCCAUGGGUGCGACCCU